UACGGAGGGGGCUAGCGUUGUUCGGAAUUACUGGGCGUAAAGCGCGCGUAGGCGGCUUUGUAAGUUAGAGGUGAAAGCCCGGAGCUCAACUCCGGAACUGCCCUUAAGACUGCAUCGCUAGAAUUGUGGAGAGGUGAGUGGAAUUCCGAGUGUAGAGGUGAAAUUCGUAGAUAUUCGGAAGAACACCAGUGGCGAAGGCGACUCACUGGACACAUAUUGACGCUGAGGUGCGAAAGCGUGGGGAGCAAACAGG
rnacentral:rRNA from 1 species